CGUCUUUUCAGUCCGCUGCAGCUAGCGACUGGAACGAGCUGCAACAAACACUCAAACUGGACAGUUUUAUCACAAUCUCUUCAUUCAAAGACUCGAUCAUGGACACUCUUAAUGACAGGCUAUGAGAGAGAAUUUGGCAACAAGACCAACCUUGUGACUGCCAAUCCCAGCAUCCUUGUAGGUUCCUCUGUGUUGAGUGGUCUGAAACUUGGUCACCAUUCUGAUAGGUUUGCCUCACUGAUGGAUCUUCUGCUCCCUUUCAUGGAAUCUCUUAAACGUGUACGGCGAUGCUCCUCCUCCCCGCAUUCUCCUACCAGCGCAACAUGCCAUCUCUGUGCUUUCAGUUUACACUCUCCAGGAGAACCACGACCAAGUACGGCCUGUGUUCCUGAACCCGGA
ensembl:lncRNA